CCUACGGGGGGCUGCAGUGGGGAAUAUUGGACAAUGGGGGGAACCCUGAUCCAGCCAUGCCGCGUGUGUGAAGAAGGCCCUCGGGUUGUAAAGCACUUUCAGUGAGGAAGAACGCCUGGUGGUUAAUACCCAUCAGGAAAGACAUCACUCACAGAAGAAGCACCGGCUAACUCCGUGCCAGCAGCUGCGGUAAUACGGAGGGUGCGAGCGUUAAUCGGAAUUACUGGGCGUAAAGCGCGCGUAGGUGGCUUGAUAAGCCGGUUGUGAAAGCCCCGGGCUCAACCUGGGAACGGCAUCCGGAACUGUCAAGCUAGAGUGCAGGAGAGGAAGGUAGAAUUCCCGGUGUAGCGGUGAAAUGCGUAGAGAUCGGGAGGAAUACCAGUGGCGAAGGCGGCCUUCUGGACUGACACUGACACUGAGGUGCGAAAGCGUGGGUAGCAAACAGGAUUAGAUACCCUUGUAGUC
rnacentral:rRNA from 1 species